UACGGAGGGUGCAAGCGUUAUCCGGAUUCACUGGGUUUAAAGGGUGCGUAGGUGGGUUGGUAAGUCAGUGGUGAAAUCUCCGAGCUUAACUUGGAAACUGCCAUUGAUACUAUCAAUCUUGAAUAUUGUGGAGGUCAGCGGAAUAUGUCAUGUAGCGGUGAAAUGCUUUGAUAUGACAUAGAACACCAAUUGCGAAGGCAGCUGGCUACACAAAUAUUGACACUGAGGCACGAAAGCGUGGGGAUCAAACAGG
rnacentral:rRNA from 1 species